UACCAAAGACACCCAGGGACAUAGAAGAUAUAUUCCCUUUAUCUUACAUAUCUUUCCAGGCUCUAUUUAUCAGAUGCCUCACUGGGUGCCAUCCAUUGAGCUAAACAAGAUGCGUCUACCUAAACCUCCAGUUGACCUGAAAGUUCAGAGGACAACAGGAAAACUCUGGAGAUGAGAGAAAGUGGCAACAAAAAAUUGGAACAAGAUACCUGAAAAAAAUGUGAGUUCCCAGAACAGUGCCAUUAGCAAAUGAAAC
rnacentral:lncRNA from 1 species